rnacentral:lncRNA from 1 species
GUAAACUUACCAUUCAACAUCUUCUUUUUUCUCAAAUCUUCAUUUUUCAGCCCCAAAAAAGGCCAAAUAAAAAACCAUCAUAACCGUCGAAUUGAAAAUAAAAUAAAAAUCCUGAGCGCAAAAAAAAAAACCUGACGAAAAAGAAAAAACCCGAGCGCAAAAAAAUAAUCCAUCUUCACCCAUGGAGGGCUCCGCGCAGACUGAGCUCCGCAGGGCGGGGAAAGGCUUAUAAAGCCUUGCCCCGC